AUAUUUUAUAUUUGAAACUACCAUUAUCCCCACCCUAUUAAUUAUUACACGAUGAGGAAACCAAGCAGAAUGCCUCAACGCAGGAACUUACUUCCUAUUCUAUACCAUAAUCAGCUCCCUUUCAAA